rnacentral:rRNA from 1 species
GACGAACGCUGGCGGCGUGCCUAAUACAUGCAAGUAGAACGCUGAAGAGAGGAGCUUGCUCUUCUUGGAUGAGUUGCGAACGGGUGAGUAACGCGUAGGUAACCUGCCUUGUAGCGGGGGAUAACUAUUGGGAACGAUAGCUAAUACCGCAUAACAAUGGAUGACACAUGUCAUUUAUUUGAAAGGGGCAAUUGCUCCACUACAAGAUGGACCUGCGUUGUAUUAGCUAGUAGGUGAGGUAACGGCUCACCUAGGCGACGAUACAUAGCCGACCUGAGAGGGUGAUCGGCCACACUGGGACUGAGACACGGCCCAGACUCCUACGGGAGGCAGCAGUAGGGAAUCUUCGGCAAUGGGGGCAACCCUGACCGAGCAACGCCGCGUGAGUGAAGAAGGUUUUCGGAUCGUAAAGCUCUGUUGUAAGUCAAGAACGAGUGUGAGAGUGGAAAGUUCACACUGUGACGGUAGCUUACCAGAAAGGGACGGCUAACUACGUGCCAGCAGCCGCGGUAAUACGUAGGUCCCGAGCGUUGUCCGGAUUUAUUGGGCGUAAAGCGAGCGCAGGCGGUUUGAUAAGUCUGAAGUUAAAGGCUGUGGCUCAACCAUAGUUCGCUUUGGAAACUGUCAAACUUGAGUGCAGAAGGGGAGAGUGGAAUUCCAUGUGUAGCGGUGAAAUGCGUAGAUAUAUGGAGGAACACCGGUGGCGAAAGCGGCUCUCUGGUCUGUAACUGACGCUGAGGCUCGAAAGCGUGGGGAGCGAACAGGAUUAGAUACCCUGGUAGUCCACGCCGUAAACGAUGAGUGCUAGGUGUUGGAUCCUUUCCGGGAUUCAGUGCCGCAGCUAACGCAUUAAGCACUCCGCCUGGGGAGUACGACCGCAAGGUUGAAACUCAAAGGAAUUGACGGGGGCCCGCACAAGCGGUGGAGCAUGUGGUUUAAUUCGAAGCAACGCGAAGAACCUUACCAGGUCUUGACAUCCCGAUGCUAUUUCUAGAGAUAGAAAGUUACUUCGGUACAUCGGUGACAGGUGGUGCAUGGUUGUCGUCAGCUCGUGUCGUGAGAUGUUGGGUUAAGUCCCGCAACGAGCGCAACCCCUAUUGUUAGUUGCCAUCAUUCAGUUGGGCACUCUAGCGAGACUGCCGGUAAUAAACCGGAGGAAGGUGGGGAUGACGUCAAAUCAUCAUGCCCCUUAUGACCUGGGCUACACACGUGCUACAAUGGUUGGUACAACGAGUUGCGAGUCGGUGACGGCAAGCUAAUCUCUUAAAGCCAAUCUCAGUUCGGAUUGUAGGCUGCAACUCGCCUACAUGAAGUCGGAAUCGCUAGUAAUCGCGGAUCAGCACGCCGCGGUGAAUACGUUCCCGGGCCU